rnacentral:lncRNA from 1 species
UUUAAAAGGUGCCAUGUAGUAAAAAUUGAGGUAAAAAUAUCCAAAAAAAUGACCUACACGCAUCAAAAAGAAUGAAAAGAAAUAAGGGCGAUGAUGUAACAUUAAAAAAACAAAGUGCUGCAGAGAUAUCAACCUUAAUUAGCAUUACUAGCCACGGGCCGACAGGUGUCGUAAUACCAGUUUCGGCCAUGGGAGGCGGUAUGCGGGCAACAUAACUACCAGCCAACCUGCAAUACACGAAUAACUCGCACGGCUUGUGGGCUUACUUGAACCUGAUGUCAAUCGUGUGGAAAGUACAGCCCACUACUUCAUUUCAGUUCAGGGAAGAGAGCGGAAGGAUGGCUGAAGCCCUUGGCAAGAGACACCUACCACCACCACCCGCUACAGGGAAACAACCGCGCUCGGAAUCACAAAUCAAAUCCGAUAAGAAAAGGAGCCGAACCAGAGUAAACAUCGGCACUGCUUUCCAUCGCUGGAGACAACUGAUGGACUUGAAAGAAAUGAGGUUCGACUCCGAACUUGCAACAUUUCUUUUGGAUUGGUGUGUAUGGUCGGCCGCAGGCACAUGCAUUAAUCCUGUCACAAUUCCCUAUCUGGACAUCUGCAGCUGUUACCAUGGCUGGCUUCACUGUAGACUGCACUCUGACAAGGCCUUAUCACCCUGUUCCUGGAAUGUGAUGAUUAUCAAGGCCACGAAAAUGUUGACAAGAAAAAGGGGAAGACCACAAAGUAGACCACGUAGAAGAUGGACAUCUCCAUGCGGUAGCCAGGACUGGGACCCAGGUCCUCAAAAGUGGCAUCUACAGAGUGCUUCAAAACCCUGUACACAGACAACAUUACACCAUUACAGUUUCAGAAAAUAAAGUGCAUUGUGGGAGAGAGAAGAUUAAUUUAUUUUACCCAUAUUGUAAGACAGUUUAUUUUACUGUAAGUUCUAAGAUCUAAGUCACACAGUAUUAACACAGUUAAACUGGAUAGCUUCAUCAGGUUAGUGAUUUUUUAUGAGCAGUAUGGCCAAAGUGAUAAAAAUAAAGAAUUUUAAUUUAAGCAAGUAAGCUCCACCUCCUCCUCCUCUGACAACUGGUCUUAACCUGAAAUAUUUUUAUAUACUGUAUCAUGCUUUUCUGAAUUACUAAAUACACUGAAAUAGUUAAUGAUUAAACACUGAGAGGAAACAGAAUUACACAGCAGAUGCAGAAAAAUGACCCCAGCAACUUGUGAACAACUAAAUAAAUAAAAGAAAGUAAUAAAAAAAUAAAUAAAUCACAGACAAUUACAAUGGCAACUCCAGCACAUUUAUGAGUUUGGAUGUAAGUUUGGGCUGAUGCUGAUCCAUGAAUCUGGAUCUGAUCCAUGAAUCUUGGGCUGAUGCUGAUCCAUGAUCCAUGCUACCAGUAUCACAGAGCCUCAAAGAGAACCACUUCAAACUGAUUACGGCCUUUAAAGUGAGAGAAUAAAAGGCCACUGAGGGGUCAGAUGACACAAGGGAAGUGUUUGAAGGGGACAGAGGCUUUUAUGGGUUUCUAAUCUCUACAAAAACAUACUUAAUAUAGCAAAUGGUUGGACUGUAUAUAAUGCUUAAAAUAUCUGUGAGUGUAAUGGGGUUAUGUGCAACAAACUUCUGUAUUCUGUAAAACAGGUCACGUCGCUUCUGGUUCAGGUCUUUUGUAUCCAUUAAAUAUAGAGCUGUUUACAAGAUAGGCAUACUCAAGAUACCUUCAAAGGAGAUACCAAAGAUGAUCAUAACUGAUGACCUUCACAUAUGCAGAUUGAUAUAUUAAAGUUUUUUUUUCUUUUUUUCUUCUCACUCUCAGUUGGAUAUUAAAAUUGAAUAAAACAGCAACAGUAAAAACAACUAGCUAAGUUAACUGAUUACCUUAAAAGUCCAUAAAAACCACUAUCAGUCAAUACUGCUAUUAACAUUUUUCCAAUAAGCGGAUGCAAUGAGAUCUAUUUUCUGGAUUGGUCAAGUGACAUUUGGCAUAUACCCCAUUAGGGACCAUCUCACAUGUCUGCUGACUCACGUUGGCCAGCCCUCUCCAGUAGAAACAGUGAAGAGGGUGAGAAAUGCCCACAGCACAUUGUCAUAGUGGAACUCAUAUUUCCUCCAUUCCCUGGGCUGGGCUUCCACUUCAUCCUUAUCGUAAUCCAAGAACAGCCCUCUAAUGAGCACAAAAACAAUGACAGAAAGAGCAAAUAAAAAGACAAACCCAUUCAAGAUGUCAGUUUUCAGAACACUGCUUACAGUAGUUUGAACCUGGUACUAUCAGUACACUUCAA